UACGUAGGGGGCAAGCGUUGUCCGGAAUUAUUGGGCGUAAAGAGCGUGUAGGCGGCCAGAUAAGUCCGCUGUGAAAUCUCGAGGCUCAACUUCGAGCUGUCGGUGGAAACUAUCUGGCUAGAGUCCGGAAGAGGAGAAUGGAAUUCCCGGUGUAGAGGUGAAAUUCGUAGAUAUCGGGAGGAACACCGGUGGCGAAGGCGGCGAUCUGGGUAGAUACUGACGCUGAGGUGCGAAAGCGUGGGGAGCAAACAGG
rnacentral:rRNA from 1 species